CCUCCUGCUGCCGCCGGCCGGCGCCGGCGCCCAACGUCGAUGGCGAGAACGCCGGGGCUUCUUCCGCCUCUAUUCCAGUCCUGAAAUCCUUUGCCAGCUUCGUCUGAGGACGGGCGAGAGGACGACGACGCCGCCCGCCUGGAGGCUACGCUCGACGGGCGUCACCGCCACGGCCGGCGCCAGAGCGGCAGACGGACCGUCGAGAUGUCAACGCCAUUCAGCAGCUUGUUGCUCCCGCCGGAGCGCCUUGUUCAAUGUUCGCCGCCUCGUACCCCCUGGAUUAAUGUCGCCGUCGAUCCAAUGUUCGUCGCUUGGAGUUCGGAUAAGGUUACGAGUUUCAGAUUAGCCUAUACCGUCACACGUGCACAUCUGGGAGUACUAUUUUCUAAUAGUAGCUGAUGAUCCAAAUGGGCAGCUAAUUGCAGGAAGGUGAGAGGAAUUCACCGCGCUGACCAUUCGGAUUGCAUAUACAACAGUUUCAUGGAGAGAACUUCAGCAAGCGAUGGAUAGCUUCAGAAAAGCUGUUUAAGGACUCCUCUAGUACUUAGCACUGCCAUCAUUGCUUGCCUUGUAUGGAAAGUCCAGCUUCAAGUUGUUUGAACUUUGCACUGUCAGAUGAGCUAACUGCAAAACUUGAAAUGAAAAUUUUCAUGAUUGUUUGG